GGUCCCAGUCCGACCCACGCAGUUUAUACAUGGCUGUACGUACAAAUCACACUGACGUCCCACAUCAGGACAAGCCACGUGAUGUUUGGUGUCCGUUUUGUCUCCUUGGAUGUUUUUCAGCUGGCAGAAUCUCAAGAUCAGUCGUGGUCAGGUGGCCAAGAACAGCCCCUUAACCCGGGCCUUUGAUUAUUUCUGUUCGCCAACGUCCCUGCUGACACAGCCACGCAGAGCUCGCAUCUGUGGGCUUCUUCAUUACAACACCAGCGACUCAUCUAGCGUUGUACCAAAGGCCAUACGACCCUCUCAGCGACCCUCACGAAAAACAACAAGUAAACGUUGAAAGCCAGCAGUUCAGCAGUGAGUGGGUGUGUUUAGCUCACCGCCAAAUGGAGCAAAUCCCAUCUGUUUGAUCUGAAGAAAGAUAACUGAAUCAGUUGCCAGAGACACUGAAGAAGUGAGCCAAGACAUCCUGACUUCAGACAUGUCUGUCAGGCAUACAUUAGUUUCUGACCCUUGGAAAGUCGGAAAAACAGUGAAAUUCUUCCAUUCAUUGAGCCUCCCCUGAUGCUGUUUGGAGCCCCCUGGUGGACGCCCACCGAACACUCUGAAAACCUCUGCGUCAGUGAAAUGUCUCCACGACCGUGGAUUACCAUCAAAUUUGGCUGAGACAUGCACGUCCCAACCAGGAUGACUUGUCAUAUAGCACCACCAUGAGGCCAAAAUGGAUAUCUUUUCAAUACUGUUAAGACUUUCCCAUCAGCCUCAGCUGUACUCAAACCAAACACGGCUGAUGAGGUCAAACGUUUCAGUAAUGUUACUCAUGUCUCAAAACUUUAUUAAAUGAUGGUAAAACACUA